UACCAGCACCCCGAGUGGUCGGGACGUUUAUUGGGCCUAAAGCAUCCGUAGCCGGUUCUACAAGUCUUCCGUUAAAUCCACCUGCUUAACAGAUGGGCUGCGGAGGAUACUAUAAGACUAGGAGGCAGGAGAGGCAAGCGGUACUCAGUGGGUAGGGGUAAAAUCCGUUGAUCCAUUGAAGACCACCAGUGGCGAAGGCGGCUUGCCAGAACGCGCUCGACGGUGAGGGAUGAAAGCUGGGGGAGCAAACCGG
rnacentral:rRNA from 1 species